UAUGGAGAGAUGUGGGGAAUUUUUUUUUUUUUUUUGAGAAAUAAAUAGCACGCUAUUCACUUCGUUUAUUUCAUUUAGAAAUAAACUUAGCUAGAAAUAUGAAUCAACUAGGAUUCAAACUGUUAAAAUCGGAACGGCGAAAAAUAGAUCCAGAAAAUAACUUAAUACAAAAAAAGAAAAGAUAAACGGAAAGACAACACCGAUAUUUACGUGGUUCGGCCAACGGCCUACGUCCACGGAUGAAGACGGAGCAAAUACUUUAUUAAUAUCGAAAAGACGGAGUACAAGAAAAUCUCUCAAAAGAAUCCCAUAAUCCAAAUACACCAAACACCGACGGCACCGAAGAAAGAAAAACAAUGAUGGCUAAUUAAUUAGAGGAUUGCAUGCCGGCUUCAUUAGAGCUUCCCUCUAAUUAGAAUAGAGUUUUAUCUCCCUUCACACGUUGUUGUUGGCCGGUCGGAUGGACCACCAGAUUUAAUUAAUUUUGCAUGGCUCUUAAUUGGGUCGCGGCAAGAUUAAUUCGGCCGUAGCAUGUAUUUAUAAUACAUGUCUCCUGAAUAGACUCUAAUUCUAAUUCAAUUAGAAUUACACUCUUAAUAAUAAUCCAUAUAUACCAAAUUAAAUUUAAAUAAUAUCUAAUCCCAAUUAGAUCAGGAUUUAUCCUCAAUUUAGAUAACUACAAAUCUAAACCAAAUAUAACACAAACUUAGGACUUCGGGUACCAACUAUCAAGCUCUUUACCACUUGCUUUAGAAACGGUUGGUGAUGUGGGGAUGUUUGAUAUUAUUAAUCUGUUAAGUUAAUUA
rnacentral:lncRNA from 1 species